UACGGAGGGUGCAAGCGUUGUCCGGAUUUAUUGGGUUUAAAGGGUGCGUAGGCGGCCUUAUAAGUCAGUGGUGAAAGCCUGUUGCUUAACGAUAGGAUUGCCAUUGAUACUGUAGGGCUUGAGUACUGAUGAGGUAGGCGGAAUUGACAGUGUAGCGGUGAAAUGCAUAGAUAUUGUCAAGAACUCCGAUUGCGAAGGCAGCUUACUAAGGAGUUACUGACGCUGAGGCACGAAAGCGUGGGGAUCAAACAGG
rnacentral:rRNA from 1 species